ACCCUCUCACGGUCGCAUCUGGAGAGUUUCCAGUAUUCUACCAGUCGCGACUAAGGGAGGAAGAGUCGAGCAGAGGCAAACUCAUUCCAUUCCUGCUUGGGCAGUGGCUAGUGAGUGGAAGGCAAUCUGCUACAAGU